rnacentral:tRNA from 1 species
GGAACAGAGGGUGAAACAGCACCCUGUGACUGCCCUCCGAAGGCAGAGGCCAGAGGUUCGAAUCCUCUAGGGUCCGCCA